GAUGAAGAACGUAGCGAAAUGCGAUAAGUAGUGUGAAUUGCAGAAUUCAGUGAAUCAUCGAAUCUUUGAACGCACAUUGCGCCCCAUGGUAUUCCGUGGGGCAUGCCUGUUCGAGCGUCAUUUACCCCCUCAAGCUCCGCUUGGUGUUGGGCGUCUGUCCCGCUUCGCGCGCGGACUCGCCCCAAAGGUAUUGGCAGCGGUCGUGCCAGCUUCUCGCGCAGCACAUUGCGCUUCUCGAGGCACCGGUGGGCCCGCGUCCAUCAAGCUCACCCCCCCAGUUUGACCUCGGAUCAGGCAGGGAUACCCGCUGAACUUAAGCAUAUCAAUAAGCGGAGGA
rnacentral:misc_RNA from 1 species